UACGGAGGGUGCAAACGUUGCUCGGAAUCAUUGGGCGUAAAGCGCACGUAGGCGGUCCAGCAAGUCGGGUGUGAAAGCCCUCGGCUUAACCGAGGAAGUGCAUUCGAAACUACUGGACUUGAAUACUGGAGAGGAUCGCGGAAUUCCCGGUGUAGAGGUGAAAUUCGUAGAUAUCGGGAGGAACACCAGUGGCGAAGGCGGCGAUCUGGACAGAUAUUGACGCUGAGGUGCGAAAGCGUGGGGAGCAAGCAGG
rnacentral:rRNA from 1 species